AAUAACACAUUCAGUGCAGAACUUAAUCAAUUGCAAACCUGCAGGAGCAUUGACACACAGCAUUUACCAAAACAAAACAAUAGUUUCAAGUGCAAAACUGCGAAUCAGCAAGCCACCACGAGAAACAUAACGAGAACAGCAAUGGACAUCAAAAUGUCAACAUCAUGUUUUCUAAUGCUAUUGCAAUCAUGGCAAUGUUUUAUCCAUAUUAUUACUAAUUGUUCGGCAGACUCCUUAUUCAGUAUCCAUGGCUAACACCUUAACCUUUAGAUCAAUCACCACCUUCCAAACUCAAGCUCGCAACGAGGAGCGCGGCGUGGUCUGGGCCUUCCUCUUGCCUUAAUGUAGUGUCUUCCACCGUGCGCUUGCUCUGCAAGUAUAGUUCAAUGUCAGAUGAGAUGAAAUACUACAACACUUUACAUCAAAAAAAGUAAAGAUGUCGUAGAUAUGAACAAACUUUUCAUAAAAGAAAAACAUGACUAGUUUCCCCACCUGUACGCCCAGCCGCUACAAAGUGAUACCUAGUCCUACCCCUAGCAAUCAAACACUCGUACUACCAAGCUAUUGAAAUAACCUCGCUAGACGUAUUAGAUAAUUCUAAGAUGAACAUGUCGUAGCAUGGCUCAAAAGUUGGAAAAAAUGAUACCCUUGGGUUUGUGGCGUACCACAUGAUGUGUAUUUUACAGUGUCAGCUUCUGUGACUUCAUUUUGGUAAGUACAGAGCUUACUAAUUUGCAUAACAUGGUAAGUAUGUCAGUCUAUGAUUAAACUUAGCUAAUGGAGUAUACCUUAGCUCUGAGAUAAAUGCAUCCAAAACAAACAUAAACUAAGGAGGACACCAAAUUUAGAUGGACAACUAAGUGCAAGUGCAGAGUUGGAACAAUAUAUUCCGGCCCUAUAAGAAAACAUUACUAUGCCUAUGUGAUCUCCAAUGUGAAAACAUAUCGACUGGCAGCAACCAGAAAGGUCAACAAUUCUUGUCCCAAGAUUUUCCAGUUAUGGCAUGAAUAAAAUGAUUGAUAAGGCAAUAAUAAAAAUCCCCUAAGAAAAAGGAAAAAGUUGCACCUAUCAGUAGCUGAUNNNNNNNNNNACUGCUUGUAACAUAGCAAAGACAAAUAUUGUUUUUUACACAAAAGGACAACAGAUUGUCAGAAUAAUUUUCUCUGAAGAAAUAGUCUUUUGUCCUUGUAGGCAUGAUAACCAAUUUAUUAACGUAUAAGAUACAUGGUAAUCUUCCCUGAGAUAACUCACUGUACCAUAUGGACAUUCAAAUUGGAAUAUCGAAGGUGGUAUGUGGUGCUUUAGUGGAUUCGAUCCCUCACUCUACUUGGUGUGUGAAGAUAACAUGUUGUCCUUGUAACUGCGAAUGUCAAACAGCAGAGGAACCAACAUGGGAGGAAAAAGACAACUUGAGCGAUUGGUUGUGUGUGCUUUGGUUCAAGAUUCCUACCUAGCCCAUUUUAUUUUAUCAGGGCCAACUAGUAGCAUUUGAGACCUUAUUUUCAUUGGCGAAAUAUCUUUGACAUACAAAAUUGCUACUCAAUUAUAAAUUUCCAUUAGAAUUUAAGUACAUAUGAUAAAGUUUGUUGUCGACCCAGGGCAUUAUACGCCCCUAAAAGAUGGAUGUGAGGUGACUCGUUAAAUAUACUGGCGACAAUUCGACACCCGCUUUAAAUUUACUUAUAUGUCAUAAAAAUUUUAUUGAUAGAUUCAUAUUUGAAAGAAGUUACCAACGAUAUUAGUUUUGUUGGCGACAAUUCGACACCCGCUUUAAAUUUACUUAUAUGUCAUAAAAAAUUUAUUGAUAGAUUCAUAUUUGAAAGAAGUUACCAACGAUUAGUUUUGUUACGUAUAAAUUAUAAUUUGUUGGUUAAAUCUUUUGUCAAUCUGUCACCCAGAAUAUAAGGGAAAAAAAUAAACCGGACAAAGGUACGAAGUGUGGCGGGAAAUUGAUACGGUACAAGGAAAAGAGGGCUCAACUUCAGGACCUACUCAAUGCACUAUUAAUAAAUAUCCUACAUGAAUCCCAGGACUAGGCUCAUCUAGGCUUCAGAAGAGCCUAGACAUGAGGGGUUUGUUGGAAUACAUUGUACAAGCUUAUUCACAAGUUAAUGCUUUUAGGGAACUACCGGUUAACAUCAUGAAUUCAAGAGAUGACAUACCCAUUGAAUGGUCCAACUCAACUGGUUGUACAAGUAUCUCUUAGGCCAUGAGUUCGGCUUAUUCCAAUGCACAUAAUUAGCUUUCUUAUAAACUCAUAAUAUCGGCACGAGUGUCUCAAAGAAGCCAAUUCAGAUUCAACUGGGCAAGAUAUACAUGGACAUAAAUAACAUAUCAACUAUAAUUGGUUGCUUGAAUCCAUCACAGAUUCUGGUUGUCGAAAUUGGCAAGGUAAACUCGACACUAAAUUCAAAAUGGUUAUCCUUCCCAUAAGGGAGGCUGAUGUGGGAGUUGCCCUUAAAGUAAUGGGUAUACAAAACCUUAGCGAAAUGCAUUCAAUAUAGCAAGUUAAUAUAUGGGCGCACAUUUGGUUUUGUAAUAUAGAUGACAUGGAGAUAUCCUAGUGGUGGAAUUGAAUUGGCACAUCUAUGCUGACUUGUGUUCGACUCGAUGGAGGCACUUAGUACAAAUACAGUUAUUUGGGCACAUCGUCUAUCCUUGACACAAAGUGCCACCUCGCUUCUCCCCGUUAGUACAUGUGAUUAUCAAAUUCGACAUAUGGGGCACAUUUUAGUACCAAACGUUAAGGACCUAGAGAUAACAUUGAGGAGGAAUUUUAAUUGCACGUCUUUCAAUUUGGGUUUGGAGCUAUGGAGGCAGUUAAGUUUGCAAUGUCUGAUUGUCUGGGAUUAUCGUGUCUCCCUGACCUGAAAUGCCAAAUCCAUCCUCUUUUUUUGUACAUGUCAUUAUCAAAUUUACAACAUAUGGUACAUUCAAUUAUCUAAAACUGACUACUUGGAAUUGUGGAAUUUCAAUGUCGAAUCUUCACCGACUUGGGUUAGACUUUAGAAAGAAGGUAGGUAAUUUCAUAAUGUCGAUUAUUAGGGCAUGUGGUCUCUGCUGGAGAUAACAAGCCAUACCGUCCGUCCCCACUGGCACGUGUCAUUAUGAAAUACUCAUUUUGUUUAGAGUAGGCAAUACACCAUAUGUGACCAUAGAUGAUGCACGGGGGUGGAUGCAACUUCACCCCCUAGUUCGAAAAUUACGGGUAAUAUUGAAGGUUAAUGAUAUCUUGGAUUCACUUAUGUUCAUCUAAAUAUAGAGAGGGAUAUUAGUUCCCUUGCCAUUAUCUUGGUCAAACAAAUGGACACAACGAUAUUAGUUUAGAGAAGUAACAAAUGUCUUCACGCUAAAAGGUGGACACAAAGUGUGAAAGGAAGAUUACAUAGUGGCAUAUAUAAUCAAUGUGAACUACGACAUAAUCAAUUAACAGACCCAUGUGAGGUCAUAUGUUUCUUGACAAUUGAAUCUGAUACAAAGGCAUUGACAACUUUUCACUCCAUGUCAUCUUCCUCCGGCCAUUGCAACAAAGACCAGUUAGCUUGACCAUGAAGUAGUAGCCGCAAUGAAUCCCAAUUCCCAUGUAGGAUGUGGGUUUGAAUUAUAUGAAGGAUAGUUGAUGUAUGUUAAAGUCCUCCAUUUGAUGCUCAAAUAAUUAUCCUUUUGGUGUCUCCAAUCUCUAUGAGAUUUACUAGAUAGGAUACCUAGAAAUCACCUUCUCUGUCAUGCAUAUUGUAACUCUUAAUUUAAAUGUGGCGGAGCCAUAUUGAAAACUAUUCGCUCCAUGUCCUCCGACCUUUGCAACAUAGAUCACUUAGCUUGACCAUGAAUUAGUAGCCGCAUGAAGCCCAAUGCCCAUUUAGGAUGUGGGUUUGAAUUACAUGAAGGAUCAAACUCCCGUGAUCGGUUACAUAGCCACCAUUCACAUUCAUCCAGUUGGUGACCUCCAUACCUUGUGUCCCUCCACCACUUAGUCAUGUUAUUUCGGCCCUUUUCGCCGGUCAUCCAAUUCUAACUCUUUAACUCAUUUGGAAUCCAAACAUGCCCUCCCAACUUCUCUCAUAUGACCCAGGGUGCCAUCACCCAUGGCCAGCAACAUAAAUGAUAUAUUGUCUCAUGGGCCAACAUGAUUCUUGACCUGUUGUCUUCUCGUGUACCCUAAGAAGUAGCUUUGACAUUGAUGUUGCACAAAGUUGGCCAGAUGGAAACUCUAGUUCAAACAAUCCACACAUGAAAAUAAUUAUGGGAAAUGAUUAGAAAUUCCAUCUUGAGUGGCCAAAGUGAACAUGAGGAAAUAUACCAACUCUCUCUCUCUCAUGUUGAGAGAUAGGUAGUCAAUCACACUAAGACACAAUUGUAAGAGCUUUGGUCGCAUAUAAUAUCGAUGAUAAGACUUAUGUUUGUAAGGAAUACAAAUCAAUAUCCAACAUAUCGUCUUUGCGAUAAAGUAGUUGUAGUCACAUUAGUGAUAAUAUUUAAGGUAUUUAGUGCAUGGAACUGAUGAAAUAAAGGCAUAGUUCUAGAUUUAAUUAUUCAUAAAAACAAGAUUCGAGAGGAAUACGGGCUAGGGAUGAUCGAUAUGUCCCUAGGCAUAGGAAAACUUGUUCAUGAUAUCAAAGAAACUAUAGUGCACUACACUAUACUAUACCCAUCUCAUCAUCGGGCACCACUAACCAAACAGAAAACUCCAUCAAUAGUGCACUUGACAAUAAUGGGCAAUGGGAUUGCCAUCAAUGGUGACUAGAAUGGACAAUCCAUACUAAAUGAAAAUAUGUACUAGUGAUGGGCCAAAUAUGUGGCCCAUCACAGAUGCAUUGUUAUCGAUGACGGAGGACACCGGUGAUGGACCAAACAUGUAUCAUGUGAGUGCCUACAUCAUUGCUCCUUCAUGAGAUCACCGACCCAAGAAAAGCCUAGCCCCGACUGAUAAGAAAAAAAUACCUUCGUAGUAAAACUAAUUCCUUAUCUAGCCACCAGUACACUUGUCUAACUCGAUCUAUUUCCAUAGGCAUACAUGUGCACUCCCUAGGUUGAUUGCCCGCCACAUCAUACCCUUCUCUCUCUCUCUCUCUCUCUCCUCCACAGAUAACACCUCCGAAGAAUCCACCUUGAGCCACCCCUCCAGCUCCUCAAUGUUCUCAAAUCCGUGGAAACUAGCGGGUCAUCAUCUCCAACAGCUCCAUGAGCUAGCCGAGGAGGUGAAGCUUGCUAUUCCACCUUGCUUUGCCUCCUAGAUGACGACGACAACUUUUGCAUUGAACACCAAGUCGCACAUGUCAGUGAUUACAGGUCGAGGGUGUUCCUUCUGGUGGCCAUCCUUCUCCAUAGAGAUAUCUUGAUUCUAGUAUUCUUUUAGUGCUUCCCUAGUUUUCUUUUUCUUUGUCAAGAUCCCUAUUCCAUGCCUUCUCUGAACAACACACCAUGAAUCACAUGAAGAUUAUAAUCCAGGAGUAGAGGCUAAACGACCAUGAUAUUGAGGCCAUGGAUCCAUAUCAAACACUAUAAUAAAUGACAUAGGAGGAUGGCGAUGACACAUACAAGGACACAUUGCUGACAGGUCAUGUCUAUGAUUGUAUGAACAAAACUGGUUUGUUACUCUCCACUAACUAGAAAUUAGUGAAUGGGCGAUGAACCACUCACUAAUGGGCAUUGUUGGGCCCGUCCUUAUAGGAUGGCUUUCUAGAGUAGUGCCAGUGCUAUUGCAAGAUAAUGUUUUUCAUGAAUGGGAGAGGAGGAGGGGCAGAGGGAGGGAUAGAGAAGAGCAAAGUAUGCGGCAUGAGAGACGGGCCCUAUAGAGUGCGAAGCACCAUGCAGAAUGGGCCUAUUUGAGGUAGCACAGCAUACCAGACGUGACGUGCCUGGAAGGCAAAUGAACUGAUUGUCAUGUGGACAUAACGAAGAAUGUUAGGACACAUGUUAACACAUAACUACCAAAAUAUUAUCGACACAACAUAUCUAGAUUCACACUUAUUAUGUCAUGAAAAAUAUUUAGUAGGUAAUAACGGGCACACUAGCAAGAUAACUAAAACAUGCCUUAAAAGUGUUCCGAACAUCGAAGCAAAGUAUCAUGGCUCAAUGCAAAAUAAUGUAGCAUGUCACAAUAGUAACCAAACAUAUAGAAGAAGAUGGCAAUGGCAGCCUCCUAUGAUACAAAUGAAAUUACAUCCUCCAGAAUCCGCUCGUGGUCGUGGUCGGCAUGAGCACGAAGCGUUCCGACAUAGGGAGUGGACAAGUUUUGUCAAGGAGUGGGAGGACUGAGUAUUCCAUUCGCUAGACAGUGCAUCUGCAUGUGCGGGAUGAGUAGGGGAGAGGGACGGGAACCUAAUUCCCAUCUCUUGACUUUUUGCUAUUUGGCCCCACCAAUGUGUGUGUUUUUAUUUUUCAACAUUUUUCUUCUGUAAGCUAUCCAUAAUUUUCUUAGUUCAACAUUACACAAAGUUUAAAUUUUUUAAAUUUCAAACUAGGAAGUUAAAUUAGAGAUUUUGAAAGUUUAAAUGACUCAAAAGUUUAAAUUUCCCAAAAUUUUGGUAGUUUAAAAUUUGGAAAGCUGAAAGUUUAUGAAAGGUGGAAGUUCAAAUUCCAAAAAGUUGAAACCUAGUUGUUAUUUUCCGAAAGUUAGUAGUGCAUCUAUUUAAAAUUGCUAGAAGGAUUGCUUCCCAUAGUGGAAAGUACAAAAUUAGAAAAAUCACUCUUUUCAAGCAAUGAGUUGGGACCAUGCUAGUUGGGGAGCGUGUUAGCUGAGUAGUGAGAUUUGGGCAAGUUCACAAGGUUGCUCAAUCAUAACAAAGAUGCAAAGAACAUUUUGAUAUUUUUUCCAUAAGAAAGGUAAUGGCCUGCCUAUAACGGACCAAAGUAAUUGGGAGAUGAUCCUGAUUGGCCAAUCCCACGCAUGCUGAGCGUUGGAUCGUUACGUGAUUUGCUGUUUAGGUCGCCAUUAUGCAUUCACACACUUCGUCAACUGCACGUUUUUUUUCUCCCCACGUCUUCUCUUUCCCAACGUUUGUUCCCCUCCUCCCCUCCAGUCGACAUGGAUGGCACGACCCUGAGCGCGUGACCCCAUGCUCUCUCAUGCUGCUGACUGUUGUCAAGCAGGCAUCAAUCUGUGAUUCUGAACAGCAUACGAGUAAGAAAAAUCGAAGACCUAUGUGAUUUAGAGCAUUGCCUAUUUAGCUACAGGCGGGAUAUUUACGAAUUACGAUCGUAUCACCGGCAGUGUGGGCCUGGCCGCGUGGUCGCUGCUUGAAAGUUGCGGCGGUGUGAUCUUGUUGAGUAAAGGGAUAAUGACUAUCAGGGGCUUUGGGCUGAACAUAACCCAAGCAGGUCUCUCUCUCUCUCCCAUCGCAAGCGAUACACUAGGUAUUUGCCCACCUUAAUCGCAAGCAGCGCGAAGGGAUGACGAGGCAGAUCAGACUGUUCACACGGUAAGCAUCAGACUUCAAAUCGUUAUAAUAAGGCGUCUACAUCCCAAAGUAUGUAAUUCUAUCUUUUUAAUUGAUUGGUAUCCUUAUACAAAAAUUUAAUUAAUGGGGAAAAACGUACGGGUAGUUCUAACUUUCAAACGAGACAGCUCGUUGAACCGUGCUAUGCACACGACUACUUUCUUACGAUUUUGGUAUCACGCUAGCUAGAAAUUAAAUAGUUAUAGGGCCAUCCAUGCUUAUCGGAAAUUGCAGCUCAUACGUUGGAUUAAGUAUUUGACAAUAAUCGGAUGACAAAAUGUCUUAUGCAUAGUACUUUCAGGGAUUGACUGCUACUUACUCUGCACAUAAAUACUUGUCGCUGGGCAAACCUAGUUCAAAUUCUACCACGUUACAAAAAUUUUCUCACUUUACAAUUUUACCAUCCCACCUGAUCUACUCGCUCCCUCGCUCUUCCUCCAGAAUCCCCUUCCCCCAUCGCCUCUCCCUCUCCUCUCCGUGGCCAGUCACUCCCUUUCCUCGUGGCCGUCUUUUCCGUCUCCUCAUCGCCGGCCUCUUCCUCUCCCCGUCGCCGGCCUCUUCCAUGCCUUUCUUCCCACCACCCCGCCUUCACCCACACCCUGUAGGUCAAACAAAUUAUUCCUUUUGCGCCGGCGAUGAGGUUCUCUGCGACGGAGGCGUGGAUGUGUAGAGGCGCCAAAGCUGGAUCUAGGCUACUGGGGCGUGGAUGUGGAGCGGCGCCCGAGCGGAUCUGGAGCAGCGGAGCGGCGGAUCUGGUCGGAGCAGCAGAGCAACGGAGCGGGGCCGGAUCCUCCACGUCGUCGUUGUCUCACGCCUCCACCUCCACGCAUGGUACAGCCUCUCUCUUCUCCACGUGGAGUAGUUUACUUAACAUUGCAUGGCACCUUGUCCCUCGGAUCACAUUCCUCCGAACGAGACAUCUAACGAACGACAAAAACGGCCUGUUUACUUGAACCAAAGGGCGAGGGAUGCAUAUAGACAGUUAAUGAAUAGUCCGGAAGUUUUUUCUUGAAAAAAAAGAAGACACACACUAGCUAGUACUAUAUUGGUAAAGCAAACAAUCUACUAAUAGUAUGUGCCAAUUGGAGGCAAACCCCGGUCACGAGGAUACUCGUGUGCGCUUGGCGAACAAAUAAAGAAAUCAAGUAACAGUAUGAAGUACAUACCUAACUCGCAUGCAUCGCACCCCGAUGUAUGUCUAUACCCGGCGUGCCUCCGCGGAAUGUUGCCCGGCUGCUUAGCAUCAAGAUCAAAUUGCAAGCGAUUAGACAAGCCAAGAAUACAUACACAUCAGGAAAUUCAUUAAGGACAACUGUAGUAAUCAACAUAACCAGCGGGAUCAUUAGUGCUAAAUCAUUAGUGGAUGGUUAAUUACUUCCAAAUCAGGUCGCCGGCUAGCUAGCGGACGGAGAGCUGGAGUACGUAGUACCGCCAGGUAGGAGGACCACGCACGGUGCAGGAUUCAGCAAGGGAGAGGAGGCGACUCACCGGGUGGUUCUCGGAGACAGGCGGGGCCACCGGCGUCGUCGGGAGCGCAUGCGCCGCGACGUGGGCCUCUCGGGAC
rnacentral:lncRNA from 1 species